UUAAGUUAUUAAGGGCGCACGGUGGAUGCCUUGGCACUAGAAGCCGAUGAAGGACGUUACUAACGACGAUAUGCUUUGGGGAGCUGUAAGUAAGCUUUGAUCCAGAGAUUUCCGAAUGGGGAAACCCAGCAUGAGUUAUGUCAUGUUAUCGAUAUGUGAAUACAUAGCAUAUCAGAAGGCACACCCGGAGAACUGAAACAUCUUAGUACCCGGAGGAAGAGAAAGAAAAUUCGAUUCCCUUAGUAGCGGCGAGCGAAACGGGAAGAGCCCAAACCAACAAGCUUGCUUGUUGGGGUUGUAGGACACUCUAUACGGAGUUACAAAGGACGACAUUAGACGAAUCAUCUGGAAAGAUGAAUCAAAGAAGGUAAUAAUCCUGUAGUCGAAAAUGUUGUCUCUCUUGAGUGGAUCCUGAGUACGACGGAGCACGUGAAAUUCCGUCGGAAUCUGGGAGGACCAUCUCCUAAGGCUAAAUACUCUCUAGUGACCGAUAGUGAACCAGUACCGUGAGGGAAAGGUGAAAAGCACCCCGGAAGGGGAGUGAAAUAGAACCUGAAACCGUGUGCUUACAAGUAGUCAGAGCCCGUUAAUGGGUGAUGGCGUGCCUUUUGUAGAAUGAACCGGCGAGUUACGAUUUGAUGCAAGGUUAAGCAGUAAAUGUGGAGCCGUAGCGAAAGCGAGUCUGAAUAGGGCGUUUAGUAUUUGGUCGUAGACCCGAAACCAGGUGAUCUACCCUUGGUCAGGUUGAAGUUCAGGUAACACUGAAUGGAGGACCGAACCGACUUACGUUGAAAAGUGAGCGGAUGAACUGAGGGUAGCGGAGAAAUUCCAAUCGAACCUGGAGAUAGCUGGUUCUCUCCGAAAUAGCUUUAGGGCUAGCCUCAAGUGAUGAUUAUUGGAGGUAGAGCACUGUUUGGACGAGGGGCCCCUCUCGGGUUACCGAAUUCAGACAAACUCCGAAUGCCAAUUAAUUUAACUUGGGAGUCAGAACAUGGGUGAUAAGGUCCGUGUUCGAAAGGGAAACAGCCCAGACCACCAGCUAAGGUCCCAAAAUAUAUGUUAAGUGGAAAAGGAUGUGGCGUUGCCCAGACAACUAGGAUGUUGGCUUAGAAGCAGCCAUCAUUUAAAGAGUGCGUAAUAGCUCACUAGUCGAGUGACACUGCGCCGAAAAUGUACCGGGGCUAAACAUAUUACCGAAGCUGUGGAUUGUCCUUUGGACAAUGGUAGGAGAGCGUUCUAAGGGCGUUGAAGCAUGAUCGUAAGGACAUGUGGAGCGCUUAGAAGUGAGAAUGCCGGUGUGAGUAGCGAAAGACGGGUGAGAAUCCCGUCCACCGAUUGACUAAGGUUUCCAGAGGAAGGCUCGUCCGCUCUGGGUUAGUCGGGUCCUAAGCUGAGGCCGACAGGCGUAGGCGAUGGAUAACAGGUUGAUAUUCCUGUACCACCUAUAAUCGUUUUAAUCGAUGGGGGGACGCAGUAGGAUAGGCGAAGCGUGCGAUUGGAUUGCACGUCUAAGCAGUAAGGCUGAGUAUUAGGCAAAUCCGGUACUCAUUAAGGCUGAGCUGUGAUGGGGAGAAGACAUUGUGUCUUCGAGUCGUUGAUUUCACACUGCCGAGAAAAGCCUCUAGAUAGAAAAUAGGUGCCCGUACCGCAAACCGACACAGGUAGUCAAGAUGAGAAUUCUAAGGUGAGCGAGCGAACUCUCGUUAAGGAACUCGGCAAAAUGACCCCGUAACUUCGGGAGAAGGGGUGCUCUUUAGGGUUAACGCCCAGAAGAGCCGCAGUGAAUAGGCCCAAGCGACUGUUUAUCAAAAACACAGGUCUCUGCUAAACCGUAAGGUGAUGUAUAGGGGCUGACGCCUGCCCGGUGCUGGAAGGUUAAGAGGAGUGGUUAGCUUCUGCGAAGCUACGAAUCGAAGCCCCAGUAAACGGCGGCCGUAACUAUAACGGUCCUAAGGUAGCGAAAUUCCUUGUCGGGUAAGUUCCGACCCGCACGAAAGGCGUAACGAUUUGGGCACUGUCUCAACGAGAGACUCGGUGAAAUCAUAGUACCUGUGAAGAUGCAGGUUACCCGCGACAGGACGGAAAGACCCCGUGGAGCUUUACUGUAGCCUGAUAUUGAAAUUCGGCACAGCUUGUACAGGAUAGGUAGGAGCCUUUGAAACGUGAGCGCUAGCUUACGUGGAGGCGCUGGUGGGAUACUACCCUAGCUGUGUUGGCUUUCUAAUCCGCACCACUUAUCGUGGUGGGAGACAGUGUCAGGCGGGCAGUUUGACUGGGGCGGUCGCCUCCUAAAAGGUAACGGAGGCGCUCAAAGGUUCCCUCAGAAUGGUUGGAAAUCAUUCAUAGAGUGUAAAGGCAUAAGGGAGCUUGACUGCGAGACCUACAAGUCGAGCAGGGUCGAAAGACGGACUUAGUGAUCCGGUGGUUCCGCAUGGAAGGGCCAUCGCUCAACGGAUAAAAGCUACCCCGGGGAUAACAGGCUUAUCUCCCCCAAGAGUUCACAUCGACGGGGAGGUUUGGCACCUCGAUGUCGGCUCAUCGCAUCCUGGGGCUGUAGUCGGUCCCAAGGGUUGGGCUGUUCGCCCAUUAAAGCGGUACGCGAGCUGGGUUCAGAACGUCGUGAGACAGUUCGGUCCCUAUCCGUCGUGGGCGUAGGAAAUUUGAGAGGAGCUGUCCUUAGUACGAGAGGACCGGGAUGGACAUACCUCUGGUGUACCAGUUGUCGUGCCAACGGCAUAGCUGGGUAGCUAUGUGUGGACGGGAUAAGUGCUGAAAGCAUCUAAGCAUGAAGCCCCCCUCAAGAUGAGAUUUCCCAACUUCGGUUAUAAGAUCCCUCAAAGAUGAUGAGGUUAAUAGGUUCGAGGUGGAAGCAUGGUGACAUGUGGAGCUGACGAAUACUAAUCGAUCGAAGACUUAAUCAA
rnacentral:rRNA from 1 species